rnacentral:rRNA from 1 species
UACAGAGGUCUCAACCGUUGUUCGGAUUCAUUGGGCGUAAAGGGUGCGUAGGCGGUCGGGUAAGUCGGAUGUGAAAUCCCAGGGCUCAACCCUGGAACUGCAUUCGAUACUGCCUGGCUAGGGUACUGGAGAGGAGACUGGAAUUUACGGUGUAGCAGUGAAAUGCGUAGAUAUCGUAAGGAAGACCAGUGGCGAAGGCGAGUCUCUGGACAGUUACCGACGCUGAGGCGCGAAGGUCAGGGGAGCAAACGGG